CGUUUCCCGCAGAGUUGGACUCACCUGUCGACCGGAUCCAGGGACCAAUCAGAACGCAUCAUGCUCACCAGGAACGUUGUUGUUGUGUUUCUCUUCUCUCCGUUCAUCCUGCUGGCGACGGGGGACCUGGACUCCAAUGAUAUUGGAUUACAAGCCAUGUCAACAGAUAAAGACUCCACAUCUGAUGAAGCCCCCACAGAGAUGAUGAACGUAGUCUCUCCUGAUCAACCCGAACCCUGAAGCUAGCUGCAAAGAGUGAGAAGAAAGAUCAAGAGGAGACCUCCGACUCAGAAGAAGAAGGGAAGAAGUUCAACUCUCGCUCCCCCAAACCUCAGAGCCCCGCCCUCCCGCCGAUAAACACCGCCCACAUUACACUAAGCCCCGCCCAUGCCCCAGAGAGCCCUGCUCUCCCCCCCCAGCCAAUCACUCCUCAGCCCAAAGUUCUGGUGAGGAACCGGAUGUCGAAGAGACGGUCCCGCACCAACCGGCGCCAGAUAUGAGUCGCUGGACUCACAUAUACACACACAUAUAUAUAUAUAUAUACAUAUAGAUAUAUAUAUAAACAUACACACACAGUUAUAUGAGUCGCUGGACUCACAUACACAUAUAUAUACACACAUAUGUACCCUGUUAACACACACGCACACACACGCACACACACAACCCCAGACACACACAAACAUACACUCCAACCAACGAGAACCAACGGGCGCCAGAUAUGAGUCACUAGACUCACAUAUACACACACAUGUACCCUGUUAACACACUGACACACACACACACACACACACACACACAGACACACAACCCCAGACACACACAGAAAACCAACUUGCGCCAGAUAGGAGUUGCUAGACUGAAAUGUACAUACAGUAGGGUUUGAAAGUUUGGCCCCCCAGGAAAAAAUGUGUGUUAAUGUGCAUAAAGAAGCCAAGAGAAGAUGGAAAAAAUCUCCAAAAGGAUCAAAUGACCGAUUAGACAUUCGUAUAAUAUGUCACAAAAUGUUCCAUUUUAUUUCAUCAUUUACACUUUCAAAAAAACUGAAAAUAAAGA